rnacentral:lncRNA from 1 species
UACUAUAGUGUUGGUUUUCGAUCUUAGGGCGUUCAAAUCAACGAUCCACACCGUUAAAACUGAUCUAGGGUAUUUAAAGUUUCUAAAAAUAAAAUUUUAUAUUUUUUCGACAUAGUUUACUUUAUGAUCAAACUAUUUCAAAAUUGUCAAUUUUCAAUGGCUAUUAUGACGAGUUUGGAGUUUAACGGUGUAGAGGAAUCUAAAUUUCUUCAAAUUUUGAUAGAAAAUACUUUAAACUAUAUAGAUUAAGGUUAACAUUCUUGAUCUUGAAUUUAAAAGUCCUAUACUCAAAUUUUAAAGAUUAUUCAAUUUCCACCGUCCAUUUUGAUAUAAUUUAUUUACUAAGUAAACGAUAUCGAAAAAAACUAAAAUUUUAUUCCUAAGAAAUUCAUAUACCNUACUACCGAUUUGUUUUUGAUGAUAGAGCUUCCAAAUCGACGAUCGGCACCGUUGAACACCAUCUAGACCAUUUAAAUUAUCUAGAAAUCAAAUUUCAUGAUUUUUUGGCAUCACUAACUGAACGAUCAAAGGGUUACAAAAUCUAUAAUUUUAAUGGCCGAUAUGGUGCGUUUGCUCGUUUAACGGUAUAGAAGAGUUCAAAUCAACUAAAUUUUUGUUAGAAAAUUCUUUAAACUAUUUAAAAUAAGAUCUACACUCUAGAUCUCAAAUAUAAAAAUUGUAUCAUCACUUUUUGAAGGAUAUUCAUUUCCAGCCAUUCAUUUUUCUAUUCACUUGAUGGAUAAGAGAACAAUAUCGAAAAUGUUUGAAAUUUGAUUUUCAGAUAGUUUAAAGUAGUUUAGAUCAUGUUUAACGGUGCUGAUCAUCAAUUUGGAAGCUCUAUCAUCGAAAACAAAUUAGUAGUAAACCCGAGCCGUUUACUACCGAUAGUAUUCUAGUAAAACUCUAUAUAUAUAUAUAUAUGCUAGGGCUAUUAUACUCUUAUGAGUAUAGAGCUCUUCAUACUCAUAAGUUGUUUUUAAUGAUGGAGCUUUCAAAUCGACGAUCCACUCCCUUAAAUAUGAUCUAAAGUAUUUGAAACUUCAAGAAAAUAAAUUCGUAAUUUUUAAAAAUCAUAAUAAAUUCAUCAAGCGAGUAUAAAAUGAAUGGUCAAAAUCAAACGACGUCUUAAAAAUGAAUGAUCGGAUCCUUCAAUUUAAGAUCGGAGUUAUUAAUCUUUAUCUAUGUUGUGAAUAGAAUUUUCUAUCAAAAAUUCAACCGAUUUCAAUUCUUUACACCGUUAAACUAGCAAAUAUCCCAUACUGGCCUUUAAAAAUUGUCAAUUUUGUGACCUUUUCAUCGUAAGGUAAAUGAUGUCGAAAAAUUAUAAAUUUGAUUCCUAGACAUUUUAAAUGCUCUACAUGACGUUUAACGGUGUGGAUCGUCGAUUUGGAAACUCUAUCAUCGAAAACAACUAAACAACUUAUGAGUAUGAGGGCGAUCGUACUCAUAAGAGUAUAGUAGUUGGACUCUAUAUAUAUAUAUAUAGAGAGAGAGAGAGAGAGAGAGAGCUAGUCUCCUAUACUAUCUAUAGUACCGAGGUUCCGGUACUAUAGUCUCGUUUUCGAUCUUAGGGUGUUCAAAUCAACGAUCCACACCGUUAAAACUGAUAUAGGGUAUUUAAAGUUUUUAGAAAUAAAAUUUUAUAUUUUUUUGACAUAGUUUACUUUAUGAUCAAACGAUUUCAAAAUUGUCAAUUUUCAAUGGCUACUAUGAUGAGUUUGGAGUUUAACGGUGUAAAAGAAUCUAAAUUUCUUCAAAUUUUGAUAGAAAAUACUUUAAACUAUCUAGAUUAAGGUUAACAUUCUUGAUCUUGAAUUUAAAAGUCCUAUGCUCAAAUUUUAAAGAUUAUUCAAUUUUCACCGUUCAUUUUGAUAUAAUUUAUUUACUAAGUAAACGAUGUCGAAUAAAACUAAAAUUUUAUUCCUAAGAACAUCAUAUACUCAAGAUCAUAUUUAACAGUGUGGAUGAUCGGAUCCUUCAAUUUAAGAUCAGAGUUAUUUAUUUUUAUCCAGGUAGUGAAUAGAAUUUUCUAUCAAAAAAUCAACCUAUUCCAAUUCUUUUACACCGUUAAAUUAGCAAGUAUCCCAUACCGGCCGUUAAAAAUUGUUAAUUUUGUGAGGUUUUGAUCAUAAGGUGGAUGAUAUCGAAAAAUUAUAAAAUUUGAUUUCUAGAAGUUUUAAAUGCUCUAUAUAAUGUUUAACGAUAUGGAUCGUCGAUUCAGAAACUCUAUCAUCGAAAACAUAUGAGUACGAGGGCGAUCGUACUCAUAAGAGUAUAGUAGCUAGCCGGACUCUAUAGUCUAUAUAUAUAUAUAUAUAUAUAGGGAGGCUGGUAUGCUUCUGAAAGUACGGAGCCCUCCGUGCUUCCAAGUCAUUUUCGAUAUUAGGACUUUCGAAUCGACGAUCAGCUCCGCUAGAUGUGAUCUAAAGUAUUUAAAGUAUCUAGAAAAUAAAUUUCUAAAAAAGGCUAAAAUGCAGAAAUUUCCUCUAUAAAUAUCCCUUUUUCACUUAAUUUCCUGUCUUUCAAAAACUUCGAUUUUCUCCUUUUUAAAUUUAGAGUUGUAACACUCAACUAAACAAUAUUAUAAUUUCAUCACUAUACUGUGCAUAAAUUAUAUAAUAUAGCAAAGAAAUUUAAUGAGAGAUAUAUAUAUGUUAUAUUCUUAAAAAUGGUGAGAAUAAUUUUAUAUAUUCUCUUAAAUUAAAUAACUUUUUAAAAGAGAUACUUGACUAUUUACUAAUUUACUUUUCUUUUUCUAUCAUUUUUAAGAACAAAAUAAGUAUACUAGUAAUUAUCUAAUUGUACUACACAAUUUAUGUUCAAAGCAAUGACGAAAUUAUAACAAUUCUGAGCUACUAGGUGUUAUGACUUUAUAUUUUAAGAUAGGCAAAGUAUAAGUUUUAUAUUUUGAGGAAUGCUUCAAUACAAUAUAAAUAUUAAAAUCUAAUUCUUAAUUAGUAAAGGGUAUAAUUGAGUUUUACGUGAAGUAACCUGUUGAACAGGUUACCGAUUUGAAUUAGUUAACAUGACAAUAUUGGAAAAAAAAAAAUAGUAGUAUAUGCCAAAUUUGUCACCAUUCUAUAAAUAUUAAAUAUCUUAUUUACGUUGGUAACUUACCAAAUUAGAUAAUACCCAAUUUGUUAAGUAUACAGCUCAAAAAAAUAUUAAAUUUAUUUUUUGAAGUUGGUAUUGUAAUGUAAAAUUUUAAUUUUGAAAUUUAUAUUAAACUUUUAAAUUUGAAUCUAAAUUGAACUUUUAAUCUUAAAGACAAAUUUUAAUUUUUGAUUUAAAUUGAAAUUUUGAAUAGAAACUGAAAGUUUUAUUUUAAAUUUGUGUUUUAUAUUUAAAAAAAUUGAAUUUUAUUUAUAAUUAAGUUUUAAAUAUUGUUUUGAAUUUAAAUUUACAAUUUGGUUGUAAUUUGAAAUCCAACUAUUUCUGUAGGCAUUUGAAAAGAUCAGAAUAUUUUUAGUUGGAUAAAAUUGGUUUUGUAAAUCAAAAUAUUUUACAAAGACCAAAAUACCGUUUAAAUAGGUACUUGGUGAAUAGUACCUAUGUUUCAAUAGUAGAUCAUCUCUAGAUUCAUAUUAAAUCUAUACCAUCUAUUAAGAAAAAUAAAUGGUCAAGAUUUAUGUGGUGUAUUGAAUGUCGGA